rnacentral:tRNA from 1 species
GCCCGGCUAGCUCAAUGGUUAGAGCGUGUGGCUUUUACUAAGGAACUUAGCAAAAGGGAUGCAAAAUCCACGGAAAAAAACCUCAAGGCUCCGAGUUCGAGUCUCGGGUCGGGCU